rnacentral:rRNA from 1 species
GGACUACCCGGGUAUCUAAUCCUGUUUGCUCCCCACGCUUUCGCACCUCAGCGUCAGUACCGAGCCAGUGAGCCGCCUUCGCCACUGGUGUUCUUGCGAAUAUCUACGAAUUUCACCUCUACACUCGCAGUUCCACUCACCUCUCUCGGACUCGAGACAUCCAGUAUCGAAGGCAGUUCUGGAGUUGAGCUCCAGGAUUUCACCACCGACUUAGAUGCCCGCCUACGUGCGCUUUACGCCCAGUGAUUCCGAGCAACGCUAGCCCCCUUCGUAUUACCGCGGCGGCUGGCAC